GUAGGUGAACCUGCGGAAGGAUCAUUAAUGAGGGCGUGUGGGCUAAUAUCCCCGCGAACCCUAAUCCUUUGUUUACUACCCCGUGGUGGUUUUUUCUUGGGCUCGGUAUGGAUUUUUUUUUUUUUAAAAAAAAUGUCUUGUGAUGUCGCCUAAAAUGGUUGCCACAGCGCCCCCCAAAAAAACAAAACCAGAUCAUAAAAAAUUCUAAUUCAUAUAUUGAUGUCUGAAGCAAAAUUUAAACAAGUAAAAC
rnacentral:misc_RNA from 1 species